UGGCAGGAGAGUGACCAGUGACAUAAGCCUCCCAUGCCAUGCUGAGGCGCUGAGGUGGAUGGAGAUGAACGGGGUGACGUGGCGUCCCUCUUGAAAUCUUGGGGGAUGCAGAGAGAGAAUCAGGCAGGGUGGGGGGCGCUCCGGAUCCUGACUCUGCCUCUGCCUCCCCAGGUCAUCCCCUUCUCCAUCCCCCGGACAGCGUACGCCAUCAAACACUUGUACACAGCGGGGCUGUUUGCUGAUGGAGGGGCCACUCUUCUAGAGAAACUUAUCCCCGAACUAGCCAGCAAUUUGAAGAGAUUCGUGGAGUGGGGACACCAAAGAAACUGUGGGAGCAGCACACAGCAGUGGAG
rnacentral:lncRNA from 1 species